CUUUUUUGCUGGUCUGACAUUUUCCCCCACCAUUUCCCCUCCGCCUUGUAGCUAGAAGACGAAAUUACAACACUACGACAAGUUUUGUCAGCGAAAGAAAGGCAUCUAGUUGAGAUAAAACAAAAACUCGGCAUGAACCUGAUGAAUGAAUUAAAACAGAACUUCAGCAAAAGCUGGCAUGACAUGCAGACUACCACUGCCUACAAGAAAACACAUGAAACCCUGAGUCACGCAGGGCAGAAGGCAACUACAGCUUUCAGCAACGUUGGAACGGCCAUCAGCAAGAAGUUCGGAGACAUGAGACGAAAGUAGGCGGUACGAACCCUAAUGGAGGCAGUUUUGAGGAGGUCCUCAGCUCCACGGCCCAUGCCAGUGCCCAGAGCUUGGCAGGAGGCUCCCGGCGGACCAAGGAGGAGGAGCUGCAGUGCUAAGUCCAGCUAGCGUGCGGGUGCAUCCAGAAACCGGUCACUACCCAGCCCAUCUCUGCCUGUGCUUAUCCAGAUAAGA
rnacentral:sRNA from 1 species